rnacentral:rRNA from 1 species
UACGUAGGGGGUCGAGCGUUGUCCGGAGUUACUGGGCGUAAAGCGCGCGCAGGCGGCGCGAUAAGACCGGCGUGAAAGCCCCCGGCUCAACCCGGGGAGGAUCGUUGGUGACUGUCGCGCUUGAAGGCAGCAGGGGUGAGUGGAAUUCCCGGUGUAGUGGUGAAAUGCGUAGAGAUCGGGAGGAACACCCCGUGGCGAAGGCGGCCCCCCUGGGCCGGCCCCUGACACUGAGACGCGAAGGCGUGGGGAGCGAACGGGG